rnacentral:lncRNA from 1 species
UGGCCUCCUAUCCACACAUACUCCCUCUUGAUUGGAGGGCUGUGUUGUUGUGGUGUAGAGAGGACUUUUUUAGUUCCUCCAGUUAUGAAUCAAGAGGAAAUAUAAUUUAUUUGGAUUGGAACUUUCUCUCCCAAUGUGAGGCGCUUUUUAAAAGAUAAAAUCGUGAGGCUAUGCGAAGGCGAAGGCAAUACUUCACGAAUGCGAAGAUGAAGAUAUAAACCAACCAUCUGAGCCAUUCAAUCUCUUGACUCAUAACCACAACAUCAUGAAACCUAGG